UUGCUGCGACAGCACAUAUACUAAAAUUGGAACGAUAAAAGGAGAUUAACAUGGCCCCUCUGCAAGGAUGACACAUAAAUUCGUGAGGUGUUCCAUUAUUUU